rnacentral:rRNA from 1 species
UCUUCUGGUCAUACCACUCUCAGUGCACCAGCUUUUGUCUGAUCUUGGAAGCUAAGCAGGGUCAGGCCUGGUUAGUACCUGGAUGAGAGACAUAGAAGAA